rnacentral:rRNA from 1 species
GACGAACGCUGGCGGCGUGCCUAAUACAUGCAAGUAGAACGCUGAAGGAGGAGCUUGCUCUUCUGGAUGAGUUGCGAACGGGUGAGUAACGCGUAGGUAACCUGCCUGGUAGCGGGGGAUAACUAUUGGAAACGAUAGCUAAUACCGCAUAAGAGUAGAUGUUGCAUGACAUUUACUUAAAAGGUACAAUUGCAUCACUACCAGAUGGACCUGCGUUGUAUUAGCUAGUUGGUGGGGUAACGGCUUACCAAGGCGACGAUACAUAGCCGACCUGAGAGGGUGAUCGGCCACACUGGGACUGAGGCACGGCCCAGACUCCUACGGGAGGCAGCAGUAGGGAAUCUUCGGCAAUGGACGGAAGUCUGACCGAGCAACGCCGCGUGAGUGAAGAAGGGUUUCGGAUCGUAAAGCUCUGUUGUAAGAGAAGAACGAGUGUGAGAGUGGAAAGUUCACACUGUGACGGUAGCUUACCAGAAAGGGACGGCUAACUACGUG